rnacentral:rRNA from 1 species
UACGGGGGGGGGCAAGCGUUGUUCGGAAUUACUGGGCGUAAAGGGCUCGUAGGCGGCCAACUAAGUCAGACGUGAAAUCCCUCGGCUUAACCGGGGAACUGCGUCUGAUACUGGAUGGCUUGAGAUUGGGAGAGGGAUGCGGAAUUCCAGGUGUAGCGGUGAAAUGCGUAGAUAUCUGGAGGAACACCGGUGGCGAAGGCGGCAUCCUGGACCAACACUGACGCUGAGGAGCGAAGGCCAGGGGAGCAAAGCGGGG